CUGCUGAGGAGUUCCACAAUAGGACGAAACGGCCGUCCAG
rnacentral:hammerhead_ribozyme from 1 species